UGAAGUGGGUCUAGAUAUCCUUGAGUG
rnacentral:piRNA from 1 species